AAACACAACCUCAGCACCAUGAGGGGACAGGGAAGGGUCUGUUCUCCUUGCACAUAGAAGCGGCCAGGCACCCAGCUUACCCUGAAUCUGGAAACUUCUGCACUCAGAAUCCUGGAUUCCAUUCCCCAUCAACUGCAGGUCCCAGCACAUUUAGGGUGAAAGCUUCACAGCUGAAAACCUCCUUCAAAGAAAACGCGGCCCAAAUGUGCCGGGAGGAGAAGCCGGUGGAUCCAGGAGGGGCCGGCGCUGCCGGCUCUGUCUCUGGGCUGACAACCUGGUUUCAGUAUUGUCCCAUUUUACAGAUGACAAAACUACGAAGUGGAGAGCCAAGGUCACCUUGCUACUAAAUGGCAGAGCCAGGAGUUGAGGCCAGGCUAUCCAGGUAGGACCAGGACCCAGAGUGGAGGGUGCGCCCAGGGCUGCCAGGUGGGCUCAGCAGGCCUGGAGCUUGUUUGAAACACAGGCGCUGCGGUGACCAAGUGAGCUGGCCCUGAAGGGCAGCGCGAGGGAAGGCGCCAGACCCCCCAGCCAGAGCCCCAGCCCUCAAGGGACAACUUGGCCAGGACAAGCUACUGGAACAGGCCAGGGCCCUUUUGGCGGGGAAGGGAGAACUGGACGACCCGGCUGAGAAUUCCAGAGAUUUUUCUCACUGAUGGGAAGAAAAUUGGGUCCCAGUAGGGGCCAGUGGGGAACGGGGCUUUGGAGGAAGUCAGGACUCAGGCGUCCUUGGGAACCUCUCGGCAAAUUGCAGGUCUCCGGGAUGUCGCUCCGUUGCAUUCCCAGGUCCAGCCUGCCCCCUGCUGGCUCUGUCGGGGAACCAAACACAGGCCUCAGCCUCAUCGUGCAAAGGUGGACUUCGGGGUUCUCAGAUACCCCCGUGAAGCCCACGCUUAUAAACUAGGAAUGACACGUCACAAAAUCAGUUACAGAGUGCUGCUGAUACAGUCAUCAUUCAUUCUAACCACAUAUUUAAACUGAGAAGGUUGCAUGUAUGUUCUGCCUGUCAAGGAAACCACGGCAUAAAUUGUGUAAAAUUUGUGUGCAGCAUAUUUUUGUCAGAAGUGGGGCAGAGAGGAGAAUGUUCAGGGGCUGGAGGUUAAAGUGCUGGAAUCCAGGUCACCUCUACCCCAGUAUAUUGGGGUCCGUUCAAGUUUGCAUGGAAAAUAAAAGCGUUGCUGUGCUUC